rnacentral:rRNA from 1 species
CUAGCUACAGGCUUAACACAUGCAAGUCGAGGGGUAUCAGGAAGAAAGCUUGCUUUCUUUGCUGGCGACCGGCGCACGGGUGAGUAACACGUAUCCAACCUGCCCUUUACUCGGGGAUAGCCUUUCGAAAGAAAGAUUAAUACCCGAUAGCAUAAUGAUUCCGCACGGUUUCAUUAUUAAAGGAUUCCGGUAAAGGAUGGGGAUGCGUUCCAUUAGGUUGUUGGUGGGGUAACGGCCCACCAAGCCUUCGAUGGAUAGGGGUUCUGAGAGGAAGGUCCCCCACAUUGGAACUGAGACACGGUCCAAACUCCUACGGGAGGCAGCAGUGAGGAAUAUUGGUCAAUGGGCGCUAGCCUGAACCAGCCAAGUAGCGUGAAGGAUGAAGGCUCUAUGGGUCGUAAACUUCUUUUAUAUAAGAAUAAAGUGCAGUAUGUAUACUGUUUUGUAUGUAUUAUAUGAAUAAGGAUCGGCUAACUCCGUGCCAGCAGCCGCGGUAAUACGGAGGAUCCGAGCGUUAUCCGGAUUUAUUGGGUUUAAAGGGAGCGUAGGUGGACUGGUAAGUCAGUUGUGAAAGUUUGCGGCUCAACCGUAAAAUUGCAGUUGAUACUGUCAGUCUUGAGUACAGUAGAGGUGGGCGGAAUUCGUGGUGUAGCGGUGAAAUGCUUAGAUAUCACGAAGAACUCCGAUUGCGAAGGCAGCUCACUGGACUGCAACUGACACUGAUGCUCGAAAGUGUGGGUAUCAAACAGGAUUAGAUACCCUGGUAGUCCACACAGUAAACGAUGAAUACUCGCUGUUUGCGAUAUACAGUAAGCGGCCAAGCGAAAGCAUUAAGUAUUCCACCUGGGGAGUACGCCGGCAACGGUGAAACUCAAAGGAAUUGACGGGGGCCCGCACAAGCGGAGGAACAUGUGGUUUAAUUCGAUGAUACGCGAGGAACCUUACCCGGGCUUAAAUUGCAGUGGAAUGAUGUGGAAACAUGUCAGUGAGCAAUCACCGCUGUGAAGGUGCUGCAUGGUUGUCGUCAGCUCGUGCCGUGAGGUGUCGGCUUAAGUGCCAUAACGAGCGCAACCCUUAUCUUCAGUUACUAACAGGUCAUGCUGAGGACUCUGGAGAGACUGCCGUCGUAAGAUGUGAGGAAGGUGGGGAUGACGUCAAAUCAGCACGGCCCUUACGUCCGGGGCUACACACGUGUUACAAUGGGGGGUACAGAAGGCAGCUAGCGGGUGACCGUAUGCUAAUCCCAAAAGCCUCUCUCAGUUCGGAUCGAAGUCUGCAACCCGACUUCGUGAAGCUGGAUUCGCUAGUAAUCGCGCAUCAGCCACGGCGCGGUGAAUACGUUCCCGGGCCUUGUACACACCGCCCGUCAAGCCAUGGGAGCCGGGGGUACAAGGAGUACGUAACCGCAAGGAUCGUCCUAGGGUAAAAC